ensembl:lncRNA
GAGCUGGGCAAGUUACAUUGUAUUUGAUUCCUGACUACUGUCUCUAAACCGAGGAUUCAAAUUGUUAGACUCAAUUCAUGACCUUGUUGGAAAUUUCCAGCAAACCCGCUGCUCAAUCACCUUAACUAGGAGAAAAUAUUUUAUGAUAUAGUGGAAACAAAUGAUAACAGUGUUGAGAGGGACAAGCUUAACACACAGAAUCCAGACUUCACACGUUCACGUGGGGGAGAUAGAAGUCGCGGAGUAGGCUGAUUUCUGAUGGCAACCUGAUUUAAUUUGCAAUAUGACUGCAUCAGUGGCUGCUCAAAAAGCUGUUUCCAACAUUUUGCAUCAAUAUAGCAGCUCUGGGAUCCUGAAGAAAUUUGUAUUUGCUGUCUAAGACCGGAAGGGUGGAGGAAUACAGGCCAGCAAGCCCUCGGAUCGACCCCGUACCCACGCCGACGGAGGAGAAGUGGACACGUGCUCAGUUAGAGAAGAGAACGGCACCUGCAGUCACCUGGGGCCAGAGGAUGUGGCAGACGCAUUUCAGCAGGCUUCUCAGUCCCAACAGGUCUCUCGAGAUGCGGGGCAGGCCCAGAGUCUAUGGGGCAUCUGUGGCAUGACUUGGCUGCUCGCUGCGCAGAGGAAGCGUCAAGCAGUCCCAGCCUCACCUGAACCUUUGGAACCUCCCCCUUGUGAGGCCCAGAGUUCAUCUGCUUCUCCGAGGUGUUUCCUGAACCACAGCCAACCUGAAUCCAGCUACCAGUUACUGAACAGCUGCUACCUUGAGAGGGACUGACCGACAUCGAGGACCUGGACUCCAGAACCCUGCUUUUGACCGGGAGACCUCCCAACUGGGAGCUCAAAUAAAUACGAGUGUGUUCGUUCUCAAUCCUGGAACCCGUGAGCCAAGCUGCAUUUUACGUCUGCAUCCUCUACCCCCUGUUACAGGAGCCUGUUGCCUUUAACGAACCUGAGUCAGUCUAGCGAGGAGAACUGCUCGCCAGGGCUAAUUAUCAUCGCGGCGAUGUGAGUAAAUGAAGGAAAGUGAGUCAUGCACUAGGGCGGUUUUAUGACGGCUGUGAGGGAAGGCAAAUCAAAUGUACGCAUCUAAACUGCAGGGACCUGCGAGCGGCUGAAUCAUACGUCCGAGUGAAUAUGAGUUUUAUGGCGUGCGCCUGGAGAUCCUUAACAUAAUUGUCCUGCUGCUUUGGUCAGGUUGUUCUCUGCCCGGAGGCCCAGUGGUGACCUCUCCAAACACGUCAAGUGGAGCCCCGAACUCUUCAAAUGGAGGCCACCCAUCUUGGGAAGAAAGACAACAGAAAAGAAAGAAAGAGAGUGGCGAAGUCAUAUUUCCACUGCAGAGUUGCCUGAAGAGCUCGCUCCCUUCCUGCCCUGGCUCUGUUCCCGUCAGUGCAUCCCUUGUAGCGAGUCUUAGCUCAGCAGCCUUCACGGGGUGGCCUACAGGGCAAUGAAGUGACCCAAGAAAGAGGAUGGCAUUUCUCCAACCCCCUCACCACCUGUGUGUGUUCACCAGGGAGGUGUUCUUGCCGUCUGGUCCCAGAUGUCCUAAUGCCUCCUUCGCGUAUGGGUUUGUUCAUUGAUUUAGUUAAUGAUUUGAUUUCUAAGUCUGCCCAGGCACUCUUGGAAAUGUCCUGUAGGAUAUAGACACGAAUCAGCAUGAACUCUGUUCUCAGGAAGCCUGCAGGGUAGGAGAGAAGGUUGGGCGGGUGCCACUGAAGCCUUCACACAGCUAAGGGGCUGUAGGUGGGCUUCCAGCGUGGGCUCUGGACCGCCUCGGCAUGACCCCUGCUCCCCAGCGGCAGAGUUAUUUGCUACUCGCAUCCAUAAAAUGUGGAUGAUAAUAGUUCCCACCCACUGGAUUGUUUUGAGGAAAGCACCUGGCACAGUGUUGGUGGUCACUAAGUGUUACCUCACGGUUUCCUCCACAAAUAAGCGGCAAGUAUCCUAACUGAGAAACCACUGACGUGCUCUGAGGUUCAGAGACAGAUGUGUCCUGGGGCCUGGAGAGGUUCACAACGCAGGCAGCCUUUGGGCCAGGCCUGGACGGCUCAGCUGAGAUCUCUCUGCGAUGCCCAUCGGAGUCGGUGCUCCCAGCAUUAGAGAAGCAGGACUUUGCCCCAUUUCUCUGUGCGUAUCUAUCGGUGUUUAAUACACAACUGGUUCUUUUUUUUUUUUUUUUUUUAAAGAUUUUAUUUUUUCCUUUUUCUCCCCAAAGCCCCCCGGUACAUAGUUAUGUAUUCUUCGUUGUGGGUUCUUCUAGUUGUGGCAUGUGGGACGCUGCCUCAGCGUGGUCUGACGAGCAGUG